UGCAGUCGAACGGUAACAGGAAGCAGCUUGCUGCUUUGCUGACGAGUGGCGGACGGGUGAGUAAUGUCUGGGAAACUGCCUGAUGGAGGGGGAUAACUACUGGAAACGGUGGCUAAUACCGCAUAACGUCGCAAGACCAAAGAGGGGGACCUUCGGGCCUCUUGCCAUCAGAUGUGCCCAGAUGGGAUUAGCUUGUUGGUGAGGUAACGGCUCACCAAGGCGACGAUCCCUAGCUGGUCUGAGAGGAUGACCAGCCACACUGGAACUGAGACACGGUCCAGACUCCUACGGGAGGCAGCAGUGGGGAAUAUUGCACAAUGGGCGCAAGCCUGAUGCAGCCAUGCCGCGUGUAUGAAGAAGGCCUUCGGGUUGUAAAGUACUUUCAGCGGGGAGGAAGGUGUUGUGGUUAAUAACCGCAGCAAUUGACGUUACCCGCAAAGAACACCGGCUAACUCCUGCCAGCACCUCGGUAAUACGGAGGGUGCAAGCGUUAAUCGAAUUACUGGGCGUAAGCGCACGCAGCGGUCUGUCAAUCAUGUGAAAUCCCCGGGCUCAACUGGAAU
rnacentral:rRNA from 1 species